ACUGGCUGACGAGUCCCGAAUAAGACGAAAUGUGCAUCCUGGAU
rnacentral:hammerhead_ribozyme from 1 species